CUACGGGACGCUCCAGUGGGGAAUAUUGCACAAUGGGGGAAACCCUGAUGCAGCAACGCCGCGUGGAGGAUGACACAUUUCGGUGCGUAAACUCCUUUUAUAGGUCAAGAUAAUGACGGUAGCCUAUGAAUAAGCGCCGGCUAACUCCGUGCCAGCAGCCGCGGUAAUACGGAGGGCGCAAGCGUUACUCGGAAUCACUGGGCGUAAAGAGCAUGUAGGCGGGUUAAUAAGUCAGAAGUGAAAUCCAAUAGCUCAACUAUUGAACUGCUUUUGAAACUGUUAACCUAGAGUGUGGGAGAGGUAGAUGGAAUUUCUGGUGUAGGGGUAAUAUCCGUAGAGAUCAGAAGGAAUACCGAUUGCGAAGGCGAUCUACUGGAACAUUACUGACGCUGAGAUGCGAAAGCGUGGGGAGCAAACAGGAUUAGAUACCCUCGUAGUC
rnacentral:rRNA from 1 species